rnacentral:rRNA from 1 species
CACGGGGGGAGCAAGCGUUGUUCGGAAUCACUGGGCGUUAAAGGGCGUGUAGGCGGUCAGGUAAGUGAGAUGUGAAAUGCCCCGGCUCACCCGGGACCGGCAUCUCAUACUGCUUGGCUUGAGUACGGGAGAGGAUGUGGGAAUUCCUGGUGUAGCGGUGAAAUGCGUAGAUAUCGUAAGGAAGACCAGUGGCGAAGGCGGGUCUCUGGACAGUUCCUGACGCUGAGGCACGAAGGCCAGGGGAGCAAACGGG